ACUGAUCUUACAAUGAUAAUAGGGGCAAUGUAUGCUGCAGUCUUGUUUGUCGGAAUUAAUAAUUGCUCAACAGUUCAACCAGUUGUAGCCAUUGAAAGAACAGUGUUCUAUCGUGAAAGAGCAGCCGGGAUGUAUUCUGCAUUACCUUAUGCCCUUGCACAGGUGAGAAAAAAAGGGCAUUGGUUUCCUGACUUAUGAUUAGUUUUGUUUGACAUCGAUGCUAUUUCAUGAUAUAAAAAAUAUAUACAAGUAAUUGUUUUCAAUCUGUAAAAGUUCAAAUGACAGACCUACAUAAACUGCUAAAUAAUCAAACUUUAAUUAUAUGGCAUGCAGGUGUUUUGUGAAAUACCUUAUAUUUUUGUCCAAACAACAUACUAUACACUCAUCGUGUAUGCUAUGGUGGGCUUUCAAUGGACGGCAGCAAAGUUUUUCUGGUUCUUCUUUAUCAACUUCUUCUCCUUCCUUUACUUCACAUUCUACGGAAUGAUGACUGUUUCC
rnacentral:lncRNA from 1 species